CAGAGGGUGCGAGCGUUAAUCGGAAUUACUGGGCGUAAAGCGCACGUAGUCGGCUUUGCAAGCCGGUUGUGAAAUCCCCGGGCUCAACCUGGGAACUGCAUCCGGGACUGCAUUGCUAGAGUAUGGGAGAGGGAAGCGGAAUUUCUGGUGUAGCAGUGAAAUGCGUAGAUAUCAGAAGGAACAUCAGUGGCGAAGGCGGCUUCCUGGACCAAUACUGACGAUCAGGUGCGAAAGCGUGGGGAGCAAACAGGAUUAGAUACCCUGGUAGUCCACGCCCUAAACGAUGACAACUGGAUGUCGGGAGGGUUUGCCUUCCGGUGUCGUAGCUAACGCGUUAAGUUGUCCGCCUGGGAAGUACGGCCGCAAGGUUG
rnacentral:rRNA from 1 species